AAUAGAUACCCUGGUAGUCCACGCCGUAAACGUUGGAUACUAGGUGUGGCGGUCUACCAACGACUGCCGUGCCGAAGCUAACGCAUUAAGUAUCCCGCCUGGGGAGUACGGCCGCAAGGCUAAAACUCAAAGGAAUUGACGGGUCCCCGCACAAGCGGCGGAGCAUGCGGCUUAAUUUCGAUGCAACCCCGAAGAACCUUACCUGGGUUUGACAUCAUGGGAAAAGCCGUAGAAAUACGGUGUCCGAAAGGGCCCAUGACAGGUGGUGCAUGGCUGUCGUCAGCUCGUGUCGUGAGAUGUUGGGUUAAGUCCCGCAACGAGCGCAACCCUCGUCCUAUGUUGCCAGCGGUUCGGCCGGGGUACUCAUAGGAGACUGCCGGGGAUAACUCGGAGGAAGGUGGGGACGACGUCAAGUCAUCAUGCCCCUUAUAUCCAGGGCUGCACGCAUGCUACAAUGGCCGGUACAACGGGAAGCGACCUCGUGAGAGUGAGCGAAUCCCUUAAAGCCGGUCCCAGUUCGGAUUGCAGGCUGCAACUCG
rnacentral:rRNA from 1 species